rnacentral:rRNA from 1 species
UACGUAGGGUGCAAGCGUUGUCCGGAAUUAUUGGGCGUAAAGAGCUCGUAGGCGGUUUGUCGCGUCUGCUGUGAAAACUCGGGGCUCAACCCCGAGCUUGCAGUGGGUACGGGCAGACUAGAGUGCGGUAGGGGAGACUGGAAUUCCUGGUGUAGCGGUGGAAUGCGCAGAUAUCAGGAGGAACACCGGUGGCGAAGGCGGGUCUCUGGGCCGUAACUGACGCUGAGGUGCGAAAGCGUGGGGAGCAAACAGG